GGCGCCCGUCGCUGAGGCGAUCCAGCGCCGCCGCCUGCCGGGCGGCGAACACCGGCGUGGUGACGCCGGGGCGCAG
rnacentral:tRNA from 1 species